rnacentral:rRNA from 1 species
UUGAACGCUGGCGGCAGGCCUAACACAUGCAAGUCGAACGGUAACAGGAAGCAGCUUGCUGCUUCGCUGACGAGUGGCGGACGGGUGAGUAAUGUCUGGGAAACUGCCUGAUGGAGGGGGAUAACUACUGGAAACGGUAGCUAAUACCGCAUAACGUCGCAAGACCAAAGAGGGGGACCUUCGGGCCUCUUGCCAUCGGAUGUGCCCAGAUGGGAUUAGCUAGUAGGUGGGGUAACGGCUCACCUAGGCGACGAUCCCUAGCUGGUCUGAGAGGAUGACCAGCCACACUGGAACUGAGACACGGUCCAGACUCCUACGGGAGGCAGCAGUGGGGAAUAUUGCACAAUGGGCGCAAGCCUGAUGCAGCCAUGCCGCGUGUAUGAAGAAGGCCUUCGGGUUGUAAAGUACUUUCAGCGGGGAGGAAGGGAGUAAAGUUAAUACCUUUACUCAUUGACGUUACCCGCAGAAGAAGCACCGGCUAACUCCGUGCCAGCAGCCGCGGUAAUACGGAGGGUGCAAGCGUUAAUCGGAAUUACUGGGCGUAAAGCGCACGCAGGCGGUUUGUUAAGUCAGAUGUGAAAUCCCCGGGCUCAACCUGGGAACUGCAUCUGAUACUGGCAAGCUUGAGUCUCGUAGAGGGGGGUAGAAUUCCAGGUGUAGCGGUGAAAUGCGUAGAGAUCUGGAGGAAUACCGGUGGCGAAGGCGGCCCCCUGGACGAAGACUGACGCUCAGGUGCGAAAGCGUGUGGAGCAAACAGGAUUAGAUACCCUGGUAGUCCACGCCGUAAACGAUGUCGACUUGGAGGUUGUGCCCUUGAGGCGUGGCUUCCGGAGCUAACGCGUUAAGUCGACCGCCUGGGGAGUACGGCCGCAAGGUUAAAACUCAAAUGAAUUGACGGGGGCCCGCACAAGCGGUGGAGCAUGUGGUUUAAUUCGAUGCAACGCGAAGAACCUUACCUGGUCUUGACAUCCACGGAAGUUUUCAGAGAUGAGAAUGUGCCUUCGGGAACCGUGAGACAGGUGCUGCAUGGCUGUCGUCAGCUCGUGUUGUGAAAUGUUGGGUUAAGUCCCGCAACGAGCGCAACCCUUAUCCUUUGUUGCCAGCGGUCCGGCCGGGAACUCAAAGGAGACUGCCAGUGAUAAACUGGAGGAAGGUGGGGAUGACGUCAAGUCAUCAUGGCCCUUACGACCAGGGCUACACACGUGCUACAAUGGCGCAUACAAAGAGAAGCGACCUCGCGAGAGCAAGCGGACCUCAUAAAGUGCGUCGUAGUCCGGAUUGGAGUCUGCAACUCGACUCCAUGAAGUCGGAAUCGCUAGUAAUCGUGGAUCAGAAUGCCACGGUGAAUACGUUCCCGGGCCUUGUACACACCGCCCGUCACACCAUGGGAGUUGGAAAUGCCCGAAGUCAGUGACCCAACCGUAAGGAGGGAGCUGCCGAAGGCGGGACCGAUAACUGGGGUG